UACGUAGGCAGCGAGCGUUGUUCGGAGUUACUGGGCGUAAAGGGUGUGUAGGCGGUUGUUUAAGUUUGGUGUGAAAUCUCCCGGCUCAACUGGGAGGGUGCGCCGAAUACUGAAUGACUUGGAGUGCGGGAGAGGUGAGUGGAAUUCCUGGUGUAGCGGUGAAAUGCGUAGAUAUCAGGAGGAACACCGGUGGUGUAGACGGCUCACUGGACCGUAACUGACGCUGAGACACGAAAGCGUGGUAGCAAACAGG
rnacentral:rRNA from 1 species